UUGCAGAGACAGGGUCUCCCUAUGUUGCCCAGGCUGAGAAAUCCUGAGUUCUAACCUGCAUUUGCUAUGUCAUCUUGGGGUGGCCUUUGCAACUCCUUUAUAGAGCUAAAAUACUCAGGGUCGUCUCAGUGUAUUCUAAGGUUGGUAUUUCUUUUUCCUUCUUUCUUACAUUUUUGUCUUAGGGGAUGCUGUGCAGCAAAUUUAUCCCUUUAA